rnacentral:rRNA from 1 species
ACGCUCGACACCUACGGGAAGCAGCAGUCGGGAAUAUUGCGCAAUGGAGGGAACUCUGACGCAGUGACGCCGCGUAUAGGAAGAAGGUUUUCGGAUUGUAAACUAUUGUCGUUAGGGAAGAGAAAGGACAGUACCUAAGGAGGAAGCUCCGGCUAACUACGUGCCAGCAGCCGCGGUAAUCUGAGCGGGCUGGCAAGGC